rnacentral:rRNA from 1 species
AUACGUAGGGGGCGAGCGUUGUCCGGAAUGACUGGGCGUAAAGGGCGUGUAGGCGGCUGUCUAAGUCUGGAGUGAAAGUCCUGCUUUCAAGGUGGGAAUUGCUUUGGAGACUGUAUCCCUUGAGUAUCGGAGAGGCAGGCGGGAUUCCUAGUGUAGCGGUGAAAUGCGUAGAUAUUAGGAGGAACACCAGUGGCGAAGGCGGCCUGCUGGACGACAACUGACGCUGAGGCGCGAAAGCGUGGGGAGCAAACAGGAUUAGAUACCCUGGUAGUCCACGCUGUAAACGAUGAAUACUAGGUGUGGGGGGACUGACCCCCUCCGUGCCGCAGUUAACACAAUAAGUAUUCCACCUGGGGAGUACGAUCGCAAGAUUGAAACUCAAAGGAAUUGACGGGG